rnacentral:tRNA from 1 species
GGAGAAAUGACAGAGAGGCCGAACGUAUCGGAUUGCUAAUUCGUAGGCCCGCAAGGGUCCGUGGGUUCGAAUCCCACUUUCUCCUCCA